rnacentral:rRNA from 1 species
UACGUAGGGGGCAAGCGUUGUCCGGAUUUAUUGGGCGUAAAGAGCGUGUAGGCGGCCAUACAGGUCCGUUGUGAAAACUGGAGGCUUAACCUCCAGACGUCGAUGGAAACCGUAUGGCUAGAGUCCGGAAGAGGAGAGUGGAAUUCCUGGUGUAGCGGUGAAAUGCGCAGAUAUCAGGAAGAACACCCGUGGCGAAGGCGGCUCUCUGGGACGGUACCGACGCUGAGACGCGAAAGCGUGGGGAGCGAACAGG